UUACUACUCCAUUUGUUUUGAAUUACUUGUCGCAAGUAUGGAUGUAUCUAGAUAUAUUUUAGUUUUAGAUACAUUCAUUUUUGCGACGAGUAAUUUGGAAUGGAGGGAGUAGUAC
rnacentral:pre_miRNA from 1 species